rnacentral:rRNA from 1 species
UACGGGGGGGGGCAAGCGUUGUUCGGAAUUACUGGGCGUAAAGGGCUCGUAGGCGGCCAACUAAGUCCGACGUGAAAUCCCAAGGCUUAACCUUGGAACUGCGUCGGAUACUGGAUGGCUUGAAUUCGGGAGAGGGAUGCAGAAUUCCAGGUGUAGCGGUGAAAUGCGUAGAUAUCUGGAGGAAUACCGGUGGCGAAGGCGGCAUCCUGGACCGACAUUGACGCUGAGGAGCGAAAAGCUAGGGGAGCGAACGGG